rnacentral:rRNA from 1 species
AGAAUCAACGCUGGCGGCGUGCCUAACACAUGCAAGUCGCACGAGAAAGGGGAGCAAUCCCUGAGUACAGUGGCGCACGGGUGAGUAACACGUGAAUAAUCUACCUCCGAGUGGGGAAUAAACUGAGAGAAAUCUUAGCUAAUACCGCAUAAUACCCACGGGUCAAAGCAGCGAUGCGCUUGGAGAGGAGUUCGCGGCAGAUUAGUUAGUUGGCGGGGUAAUGGCCCACCAAGACGAUGAUCUGUA